UACGGAGGGUGCGAGCGUUGUCCGGAAUCACUGGGCGUAAAGGGCGCGUAGGCGGUUCUUCAAGCGUGUGGUGAAAGUCCGGGGCUCAACCCCGGAUCGGCCGUGCGAACUGGGGAACUCGAGCACUGUAGAGGCGGGUGGAAUUCCGGGUGUAGCGGUGGAAUGCGUAGAGAUCCGGAAGAACACCAGUGGCGAAGGCGGCCCGCUGGGCAGUGGCUGACGCUGAGGCGCGACAGCGUGGGGAGCAAAC
rnacentral:rRNA from 1 species